rnacentral:rRNA from 1 species
UCCCUAGGUCGCGAGCGUUCUUCGGAUUUAUUGGGCGUAAAGCGAGCGCCGGCGGAUGAAUCAGUUCUGUGUUAAAAAUCGCCGCUCAACGGUUAUUUGCGCCGAAUACUAUUCGUCUUGAAUUCGGUAGAAAGUUUCGGAAUUGAAUGUGGAGCGGUGGAAUGUGUAGAUAUAUUCAAGAACACCAGAGGCGAAGGCGGAAACUUAGGCCGACAUUGACGCUUAGGCUCGAAAGUGUGGGUAGCAAAUG